rnacentral:rRNA from 1 species
CCUACGGGAGGCAGCAGUGGGGAAUAUUGGGCAAUGGAGGCAACUCUGACCCAGCAACGCCGCGUGAAUGAUGAAGGUCUUCGGAUUGUAAAGUUCUGUGAUGGGGGAUGAACACAAUGACGGUACCCCAAUAGCAAGCCACGGCUAACUACGUGCCAGCAGCCGCGGUAAUACGUAGGUGGCAAGCGUUAUCCGGAAUGACUGGGCGUAAAGGGGGCGUAGGUGGUUUAGUAAGUUGGCGGUGUAAUACCGGGGCUCAACCUCGGCGCUACCGCCAAAACUAUUAGACUAGAGUGCAGGAGGGGUAAGUGGAAUUCCUAGUGUAGCGGUGGAAUGCGUAGAUAUUAGGAGGAACAUCAGGGGCGAAGGCGACUUACUGGACUGUAACUGACACUGAGGCACGAAAGCGUGGGGAGCAAACAGGAUUAGAUACCCCAGUAGUC